rnacentral:rRNA from 1 species
GCAGCAGUGGGGAAUAUUGGACAAUGGGCGCAAGCCUGAUCCAGCAAUGCCGCGUGAGUGAUGAAGGCCUUCGGGUUGUAAAGCUCUUUCGCACGCGACGAUAAUGACGGUAGCGUGAGAAGAAGCCCCGGCUAACUUCGUGCCAGCAGCCGCGGUAAUACGAAGGGGGCUAGCGUUGUUCGGAAUUACUGGGCGUAAAGGGCGCGUAGGCGGCCCACCAAGUCAGGCGUGAAAGCCCCGGGCUUAACCUGGGAAUUGCGCUUGAGACUGGUGAGCUUGAGUUCGGGAGAGGUGAGUGGAAUUCCCAGUGUAGAGGUGAAAUUCGUAGAUAUUGGGAAGAACACCGGUGGCGAAGGCGGCUCACUGGACCGACACUGACGCUGAGGCGCGAAAGCGUGGGGAGCAAACAGGAUUAGAUACCCUGGUAGUCCACGCCGUAAACGAUGAGUGCUAGACGUUGGGGAGCUUGCUUCUCAGUGUCGCAGCUAACGCAUAAGCACUCCGC